rnacentral:rRNA from 1 species
UGGGGAAUAUUGCACAAUGGGCGAAAGCCUGAUGCAGCGACGCCGCGUGAGGGAUGACGGCCUUCGGGUUGUAAACCUUUUUCAGUAGGUACGAAUCGCAAGUGACGGUACCUGCAGAAGAAGCACCGGCUAACUACGUGCCAGCAGCCGCGGUAAUACGUAGGGUGCGAGCGUUGUCCGGAAUUACUGGGCGUAAAGAGCUCGUAGGCGGUUUGUCACGUCGUCUGUGAAAUCCUAGGGCUUAACCCUGGACGUGCAGGCGAUACGGGCUGACUUGAGGACUACGGGGGAGACUGGAAUUUCUGGUGUAGCGGUGGAAUGCACAGAUAUCAGGAAGAACACCGAUGGCGAAGGCAGGUCUCUGGGUAGUAACUGACGCUGAGGAGCGAAAGCAUGGGUAGCGGACAGG